rnacentral:rRNA from 1 species
GCUUGUCUCAAAGAUUAAGCCAUGCAUGUUCAAGUAUAGCAAGUGUACAGUGAAACUGCGAAUGGCUCAUUAAAUCAGUUAUAAUUUAUUUGAUAGUGAAAUUGUACAUGGAUAACCGUGGCAAUUCUAGGGCUAAUACAUGCGUCAAUGGUCGGUCGACCAGUAUUUAUUAGAUACAACCAGCCCUUCGGGUCUUUGGUGAAUCAUAAUAACUGAGCGAACCGCAUCGUAAGAGCGGUGGUUCAUUCAAGUUUCUGCCCUAUCAGCUUUCGAUGGUAGGGUAUUGGCCUACCAUGGCGUUAACGGGUAACGGAGAAUUAGGGUUCGAUUCCGGAGAGGGAGCCUGAGAAAUGGCUACCACAUCCAAGGAAGGCAGCAGG